rnacentral:tRNA from 1 species
GGCUCAAUAGUCAAGUGGUUAAGACAUAACGUUUUCAUCGUUAAAGGCGGGGAUUCGAAUUCCCCUUGAGCUU